CCUACGGGCUGCACCAGUGGGGAAUAUUGCACAAUGGGCGCAAGCCUGAUGCAGCCAUGCCGCGUGUAUGAAGAAGGCCUUCGGGUUGUAAAGUACUUUCAGCGAGGAGGAAGGCGUUAAGGUUAAUAACCUUAGCGAUUGACGUUACCCGCAGAAGAAACACCGGCUAACUCCGUGCCAGCAGCCGCGGUAAUACGGAGGGUGCGAGCGUUAAUUGGAAUUACUGGGCGUAAAGCGCACGCAGGCGGUCUGUCAAGUCGGAUGUGAAAUCCCCGGGCUCAACCUGGGAACUGCAUUCGAAACUGGCAGGCUAGAGUCUUGUAGAGGGGGGUAGAAUUCCAGGUGUAGCGGUGAAAUGCGUAGAGAUCUGGAGGAAUACCGGUGGCGAAGGCGGCCCCCUGGACAAAGACUGACGCUCAGGUGCGAAAGCGUGGGGAGCAAACAGGAUUAGAUACCCGUGUAGUC
rnacentral:rRNA from 1 species